rnacentral:rRNA from 1 species
AACGAACGCUGGCGGCAUGCCUAACACAUGCAAGUCGAACGACACACCCGGGCUUACUGGCGCACGGGUGCGUAAACGGGGGGAUAAUGCGUUUAUGAUCGGCAUCAAUCCCCGAGAGGAGCGCUAAUAACGCAGAAUAUUACCGGACCAAAGCUUUACCGCCUUUGGAGGGGACUGAGUUGGAUUAGCUGCUUGGUAGCGGAAACGGCUACCAAGGCGACGAUCCAUAGCUGGUCUGAGAGGAUGAUCAGACACACUGGGGCUGGGACACAGCCCGGACUCCUACGCGAGGCGGCAGUGGGGAAUAUUGGACAAUGGGCUGGAGCCUGAACCAGCAAGGCCGCGUGAGUGAUGAAGGCAUUAGGGUUGUAAAGCUGUUUUACACGGGAUGAUAUUGACAGUACCUGGAGAAUAAGCUCCGGCUAACUCCGUG